UUUUCUCUUUUUCUGUGUAGACACGGCCUUAGCGAUCCACCGUACUAUGCGGUUCAAAACCGUCUGGAUCAGACACCGGUCUCACCGUUCCAGUCUGCCAUUUUUCUCUCUGUCAGUGGGUAAGCCUUUUAACUGGAAUGAUUCCCACAUCAUCAUAGGCACUCUCGAUGGCCAGCUGAGAUUCAUCCCUAUUUUUGCUACAGAGGAGGAGAACGAGCACACCAUCUGUUGUCAGGAAUCCGCGAUUAGCUGUAUUUUGCUGCACCCUGUCAUAAACUUGCAAAAGAUUGAUCUCAUAGCAGGAGACUUAACAGGCAACCUUUUCGUGAUUAUGAAUGGCCAGAUUGUCGCUCGCCAUCUUUUUAACCAUCCUAUCACAGCCAUUUCUAUCGAUCGAAAUAUUCGUAUAUACGCCGACUGUCUUGUUUGUUGGAGAUCUAGGAGGUUAUCUUACAGGAAUCAAACCUCUCCUUUCUCAGAACAAAGAGUAUGUGGUCAAACCGUUACCCCUCUGCACAUCUAAAAAUUUUUCUAUUGAAGAGCCAUCGCCGGGUCAGCCAUCACAGUCCGACAACAGCCAAACAUACUCCGGCGAACAUGUUCCCAGCUAUUUUGAUACGGCGGAUCGGGAUUUGUCUAUUUCAACAAUUCACUCUGUCAUUCUUCCGGAUGUUUCCGGCACCCCAAGUCACUUUCAGAUUGUGACCAACCAUUCUGCUUGGCUUUAUUUGUACAAUCUAAAUGUCUGUGUGGCCAGAAUAGCCUGUCCAGAUAUCAUUCUUGCGGUUUGCUGCGGGAGCUUCACGACAGAAGGCAAGGUGGGCUCACCGCAGAUAGCCGUUUCGUGCAAGGAUAGCAACAUCUACAUAAUGGAAAACUAUCAAAUAUCGAAAUUGACAUCCGUCGACUUUUCUGUUACUCAACUAGCUGCCAUCAAAGACGCUGAACACCCAUCAUUGGAACGAGAUCUAUUACUGUGUGCUGGACAUUUUAACUCAAUAUAUGUUUACAGAGGUAGCCAGCUCGUCGCUGAAAAAGAGACAGGGGAUUGGGUCCAUUGUUUGCAAGUCUGCCGGUUGGAGCAAGGCAAGCGGCAGACUCCGCAGGAAUAUGUCAUCGCCGGCCAAUUGGAUAACACCAUUCAAAUUUUUGAGUUGGAAUCGGACGAAGCGUAAAAAGGAAUUUAGAAAUUGCUGUCCGCAAAAGAGGAGAGAGCCAAGCAUGCAGGAAAUGCAGGCCUUUUCAAUCUGCUUCAGUCGAGGAGAGCAUGCUGUUUUUAACCAGCAAUUCAGAUUCGAUAAUUGUGACAUGCAAGCACCCAUAUACCGAAAAAAAAAUUCGAACAGUCAAGCGAAUAACGGACAGAAAAAUAACAAGUAUUCAUCGUACAGGACUCGUCUGCUCCAUAUUCGCGCAAAUAAUUUUUUCCUAUUAUGGAUCAAUUGUGCUAUAAGCUAUGCUUUGCGCGCGCGUAUCAUUCUAGAUCAGUAUUCAAUCUUCGGCGCACGUUCUGGUGUGAAAUUCAUUAUACUUUUGUCCUAAUUGAAAAUUUUUGUCGGCCAAUUCUAGAAUUUUGGCCUUUUCUUCUUGCGAAAGCUUUCGAACAAAUUUUGCCGGACUCCCGCUCCAAUAUUCCCCUGGAGGGAUGCAUCUUUUUCCCAGCAGCAUAGACCCUGGUCCGAGUAUGGAAUGGUGCGAGACGGUCGCGCCAUCGAGUACGACGGAGCCCACAUCGACGACGCAUUCAUCUUCCAAGGUGCAAGCGUGUAUGACAGAGCCUUGGGCAACCGUUACGCAAUUUCCUAUCACUGUUGGUAACGGGUUGAUGGGACCGGUGAGGCUGCUUUUAGAGACGUGGAUGGUCACGUGAUCGCCAAUAGACGUUUUGCUGCCCACUUUGAUAGUGCUGACAUCUCCUUAAAAAAUUUUGUCGGUUGGCCAAAAUUUUUUUGCUCUGUCGUACAGAGGAAAAAAAAAGCCUGUUACAGAAAAAACAUCGUACCUCGCAAAACGGCUCCGUACCAGAUGCUAGAGAAGUCUCCAAUUUCGACCGCUCCAAUUAGAGAGGCCGAUGGCGCUAUAAACGCCACAUUUUUAAUGAUUGGCUCUCUAUCGUACAGAGACAUCAAUUGGCAAUGACGAGGCACUUGAAUUUUGUAUUCGUAGGCGAGAAUUUAAAUGGUUAAUAAUGUAAGCGUCUUUUGGAUUUCAA